UACGGGGGGAGCAAGCGUUGUUCGGAUUUACUGGGCGUAAAGGGCGCGUAGGCGGUCAGCACAAGUCAGUUGUGAAAUCCUCCGGGCUUAAACUCGGAAAGGUCAACUGAUACUGUGCGACUAGAGUGCGGAAGGGCAACUGGAAUUCUCGGUGUAGCGGUGAAAUGCGUAGAUAUCGAAGAGGGAACACCUGCGGCGAAGGCGGGUUGCUGGGCCGACACUGACGCUGAUGCGCGAAAGCCAGGGGAGCGAACGGG
rnacentral:rRNA from 1 species